UGUAGUUUUCCCCGAGUUCUGAAUGUACCCCAAAACAAGCAGUUACAAUAGUACUGAGGGUACCCCCUGAUAGCCCUGAUCUGGGUGACUAACAUAUCCAAAAUUCACCCAGAUCAGACCAGGGGUUCGGGAGUUAGGUGGAGGAUGUAUUUUGACCGACCGCACACGAGGUGGUAUCCGAAAAGGGUUCCAUGGAUUUUGGCCCUGCGGUCGGUCUUC